CCUACGGGUGGCUGCAGUGGGGAAUAUUGCACAAUGGGCGCAGGCCUGAUGCAGCCAUGCCGCGUGUGUGAAGAAGGCCUUCGGGUUGUAAAGCACCUUCAGCGGGGAGGAAGGCGUUAAGGUUAAUAACCUUGGCGAUUGACGUUACCCGCAGAAGAAGCACCGGCUAACUCCGUGCCAGCAGCCGCGGUGAUACGGAGGGUGCAAGCGUUAAUCGGAAUUACUGGGCGUAAAGCGCACGCAGGCGGUCUGUCAAGUCGGAUGUGAAAUCCCCGGGCUCAACCUGGGAACUGCAUUCGAAACUGGCAGGCUAGAGUCUUGUAGAGGGGGGUAGAAUUCCAGGUGUAGCGGUGAAAUGCGUAGAGAUCUGGAGGAAUACCGGUGGCGAAGGCGGCCCCCUGGACAAAGACUGACGCUCAGGUGCGAAAGCGUGGGGAGCAAACAGGAUUAGAUACCCCGGUAGUC
rnacentral:rRNA from 1 species